rnacentral:rRNA from 1 species
AUUGAACGCUGGCGGCAUGCCUUACACAUGCAAAUCGAACGGUAACGGGCCUUCGGGUGCCGACGAGUGGCGAACGGGUGAGUAAUACAUCGGAACGUGCCCGAUCGUGGGGGAUAACGAGGCGAAAGCUUUGCUAAUACCGCAUACGAUCUACGGAUGAAAGCAGGGGACCGCAAGGCCUUGCGCGGACGGAGCGGCCGAUGGCAGAUUAGGUAGUUGGUGGGAUACAAGCUUACCAAGCCGACGCUCUGUAGCUGGUCUGAGAGGAUGAUCAGCCACACUGGGACUGAGACACGGCCCAGACUCCUACGGGAGGCAGCAGUGGGGAAUUUUGGACAAUGGGCGCAAGCCUGAUCCAGCCAUGCCGCGUGCAGGAUGAAGGCCUUCGGGUUGUAAACUGAUUUUGUACGGAACGAAAAGCCUUCUUUUAAUACAGGAGGGUCAUGACGGUACCGUAAGAAUAAGCACCGGCUAACUACGUG